rnacentral:rRNA from 1 species
UACGUAGGGGCGAGCGUUGUCCGGAAUCAUUGGGCGUAAAGCGCGUGUAGGCGGCCCGGUAAGUCCGCUGUGAAAGUCCAGGGCUCAACCCUGGGAUGCCGGUGGAUACUGUCGGGCUAGAGUGCGGAAGAGGCGAGUGGAAUUCCUGGUGUAGCGGUGAAAUGCGCAGAUAUCAGGAGGAACACCUAUUGCGAAGGCAGCUCGCUGGGACGUAACUGACGCUGAGACGCGAAAGCGUGGGGAGCAAACAGG